GGACAAAGAAGUGAGUGAUUCCAAUUUCAGUAAGAGCCACGAAGCUAAGAGCCACAGGUUGUUGUGCCACAGAAUCAUGACUGCAUAUAGGUUUGUGUUUGGGAAAUCUGAUUUACAUGGGCUUGUCAGAGAAGGCCUCUCUGGGGAGACAGUGUUGAAGUGAUGACUGAAGGAUGAUAAGAACUAGUUCUUUGCAGAGUGAAGGAGGCGGAGGAGGAGGAGGUCAGCAUAUGCAAGGAUCUGAGGCAAGAAAGAGUUUAGUUACUCAAGGAACUUAAGAAAGCUCCAAGGGGCUGGAGUGUGGAGAGGGUGUUAAAGGGAGAGGCCAAAUCACGAAGGGCUUUGCAAGCCACUUAAAGUUUGAGCUUUCCUCUAAAAGCAAAAGGAAAUUUUGAACUAAAGGCAUUUAAGCAGAAAUGCAGAUGUGUGUGUGUGUGUGUGAGAGAGAGAGAGAGAGAGAGGGAGGGAGGGAGGGAGAGAAAGGGAGGGAGAGAGAGAGAGAGUGAGCAUGGAGAGGUUUCAAUCUUAGAGAGGUUGCCCUGGCAGCAGUGUGAAGGGUGGUUUAUGUGACCAGCCCUGUGAAGGCUGCAUGGUGGGAGCCUGCGGAGGAGGUGGUGGUGAGCACAUGGUGGGAGCCUGCGGAGGAGGUGGUGGUGAGCACAGCUGUCUGGUCAGAACUUUUGUUCUGUUGUAGGUGAAGUGAGAGCCCUGCAUAGAGCUCGUGGUGUGGUGUGCCCACCUGGAGGGUGGGGCUUGUGGGGAAGAAGCUCAAGGCGAAAAUAAAGAACUGUUUCAGGAAGGAGUAAGCACCUCAGAUUCGGAGCCACUGGUCCCCCUCAAUGUCUUGCUGUCUCCUCUGGGGACCUGGAAAGUCACCUGACACUAGAGACACUAGACACCGGGAAGAGGGGAGGGAAGAGAAGCUCUAUUUGGAGGAGGCACCUGAGAAGAUGAUAGAAUGGCUAUUGCUGAUUCCUGGAAUGCUGUUUGGAAAAGACUACAAAGAGAGUGAUUCUUCAUCAGUGAUUAAGCAUCUUUUCAUGGUAGGAACACCCAGAUGGGGUUCAUUUUGAUGAUAUAAUUUACCUGCAUGCUUGGAGAGCUUUAAUCAAAUGAAAUACAUUGUUAAAAAUGUUAUAUAAAAUACGUGCUACUUGGAUAGAGCUGUGAUUCUUUGGAAGUAGAGAAAUGCAUCUUGUCGCAUUGGGAUUUUGUUAAUCUCUGGAUUUCCUCAACUUUCCCUCUGACUUGUUUCUCAAUUUUCCUGCUUCCAAUGUGAUGAAAUGACAUUGGCCUCACAAUUACCUACUGAUCCAUUACGCAUUUAUGUGAGGCACCAUGGAGACAGGUACUUGUUUCUUCUUGAUGGGUUGUCUAGGAAGCCUUGGGCCUUUCAGAAUCAACAAGGAUUUUAUGUUUGACUGAUUCUUGCUCAGAGUGGCUAGUAUUUGUCAUAUUCUCCUCAGAGAGAAUUUGGAAGUCCACCUCAUCUUUUGCUAGGGAGGCGAGGGUCAGCACAGACAAGCAUCUCUCGUUUCCACUCAGCUCGUGCUCUGACACGGGCUCUCCCUCAGUGCCACACCCCAUGUCUCCCCGUCUCUGAGCAGGCCUAUGUAGGAAGGUGCAAAGAUAAGUUAACAAAGGAUGGUAGCCCUGAUCAGAGGCCUUCAGUUAAACCUCCUUCCUGCAGGUCUCUGCAUAGAGUGAGAAGCAACUUGACUGGGCCACACAUACAGAAGAGAGGAAGGGAGGGUGGAAAGAGGUCCCAUGUAGGGAGAAGACUAUAACCAUGUGAUAUGGUUUGGCUCUGUGUCCCCACCCAAAUCUCAUAUUGAAUUGUAAUCCCCCAGUGUUGGGGGAGGAAGCUGGCGGGCGGUGACUGGAUGAUGGGGGCAGUUUUUCCCCUUGCUGUUCUGGUGAUAGUGAGUGAGCUCUCUUGAGAUCUGGUUGUUUAAAAGUGUGUAGCAAUUCCCCCUUCACUCUCUUCCUCCUGCUCUGCCAUGUGAAGAAGUUGAUUGUUUUCUCUUUACCCUUCCGCGAUGACUGUAAGUUUUCUGAGGCCUCCCCAACCAUACUUCCUGUACAGCCUGCAGAACUGUGAGUCAAUUAAACCUCUUUUCUUUAUAAAUGACCCAGUCUCAGGUAGUUCUCUAUAGCAGUGUGAGAAUGGACUAUACACAAUGCUCCUAGCUUGUAUCUCUUCCCCUACCCAACUUUCCUUCAAUGAAAGAAUGGUAAAAAUAGACAUUCUAAACUCCUGCCAAAUAAUGGCAAUACAGCAGUUGCAUUUUUUUUCUUCAGAACAAAUAAGUAUUAGAAUGCUUGGAUGAAAUAAGUCUUUAUUCCUACUUCUCCCUGACCCCACCAAAUAACUUCAUACUGUGAAAAAUUGUGCUACUAGUUAUAUGUUCUUGAAUAUUCAUGUAUUGAAUAUAUAACUCUGUGAUCUAUGAAGAUGAUUUGAGUGAUUGUAUCAGGUUGUAAUUUAUCACUUGACUUUAUAAUAUUUAGUCACAUAUGACCAAUUAAAUUACC
ensembl:lincRNA